rnacentral:tRNA from 1 species
GGGGAUGUGGCGGAAUUGGUAGACGCGCAGGCUUGAGGGGCUUGUGGCCGUGAGGCCGUGAGAGUUCAACUCUCUCCAUCCCCACCA